CGUUAAGCCUGUAAUUCUGCACAGGAAAUCUUGCUCAGCAGAUGUACCUGCUGAGAGUUUCAUUCCACUUACAUUUUAUUUCAUUCCCGUUCAGCACCUGGGGCUAUUUGCAUGUGUAAAAGAAGAAAUGUGCUUAAGAGACCUGAGUUAAGGCCAUUCCAGCCCUACCUCAAACACUACAACAUGGAAGGAACACAAGAAAACAAGGUGAUAGCAGCCAUCUACUACUCAAGGUUGAGAAACCUCCAGUGGGAUCAACUUAAAAAAGCUGCUAGCAGCCACCUGGGAGCCCCCACUCACCGUGACCUCACUGCUAUGGAUGGAGUGGCUUCCUAAGGACGCUGGUGCCAGUUCGGAAGGUCUGGAGUUAAUGUUAUGCCACAAUCUGAGCUUCUGUGUUUGGUCUCUCUAUCAUACAUGAACAAGUUAAAAAAUAAAGGCCAUGUAAACGCUUUAACAGACCUCUGAAAAGUAAACCUUGAGCCCUUAACAUGAAUUGUCGUUCUGCUAAGGGCUGCUCAGACACAUGGAAACAGCACAGCUCUCACCCAUGGAAACAUCAACAGGGGAGACAUUUCAGCCUUCGCAGCUUUUUGAGUUCACCAAGAAUGCUGAGCUCAGGGACAAAUCCUGCCUCUGCUCUGCACAGCCUGUCACACCCAGGCUGACCUGGAAUUGUUUCUGGGAUGCUGCGUUUGUGCAGUGAGGACUCCGUGACUCCGGGACGUGCGAUGAGCCUCAUGCAGCCGGACCUGCCCGCACUGGUACGGGACGAGCACCACGUCAGGCACGUGUGACCCUUCAAAUACUGUGGUAAAACUGUGCUAAUUAUUCACUUUAAAAAAUGUGUCUGGAACAUAUCCAUUCUAAGGUUCAUAUUUCAAAAGGGAAAGUAAUAAAAAUUUAAAAUAAUGUCUAAUAAA